rnacentral:rRNA from 1 species
GUGCCAGCAGCCGCGGUAAGACGUAGGAUGCAAGCGUUGUCCGGAUUUAUUGGGCGUAAAGAGUUCGUAGGCGGCAUACAAAGUCUGGUGUUAAAUCCCGAUGCUCAACAUCGGUUCGGCACUGGAUACUGGUAAGCUAGAGUGCAGUAGAGGCAAGGGGAAUUCCCAGUGUAGCGGUGAAAUGCGUAGAUAUUGGGAGGAACACCAGUGGCGUAAGCGCCUUGCUGGGCUGUAACUGACGCUGAGGAACGAAAGCCGGGGGAGCAAAUGGGAUUAGAUACCCCAGUAGUCCCGGCCGUAAACGAUGGAUACUAGGUGUUGCGGGUAUCGACCCCUGCAGUGCCGCAGUUAACGCGAUAAGUAUCCCGCCUGGGGAGUACGCACGCAAGUGUGAA